rnacentral:rRNA from 1 species
ACGGCGGACGGGUGAGUAACGCGUAGGCAACCUGCCCUUUGCAGAGGGAUAGCCUCGGGAAACCGGGAUUAAAACCUCAUGACACCUCUUAAAGACAUCUUUGAGAGGUCAAAGAUUUAUCGGCAGAGGAUGGGCCUGCGUCUGAUUAGCUAGUUGGUGGGGUAACGGCCUACCAAGGCGACGAUCAGUAGCCGACCUGAGAGGGUGACCGGCCACAUUGGGACUGAGACACGGCCCAA